GUUUGUUGGUGUGUUCCCCAUUCCCUGAGACCCUAACUUGUGAUGUCCAUGGCUCACAGGUUAGGAUCUUGGGAGCUGGGUGACAUACGCCCUCCACAUCG
rnacentral:pre_miRNA from 1 species